rnacentral:rRNA from 1 species
AAAAACGGCAUGUCUAGUAUAAGCACUCUUGUACCGUGAAACUGCGAAUGGCUCAUUAAAUCAGUUAUCGUUUAUUUGAUAGUACCCUACUACAUGGAUACCUGUGGUAAUUCUAGAGCUAAUACAUGCGCAAAACCCCGACUUCGGAAGGGGUGUAUUUAUUAGAUAAAAAACCAAUGCCCCUCGGGGCUCCUUGGUGAUUCAUAAUAACUUCACGAAUCGCAUGGCCUUGCGCCGGCGAUGGUUCAUUCAAAUUUCUGCCCUAUCAACUUUCGAUGGUAGGAUAGUGGCCUACCAUGGUGGCAACGGGUAACGGGGAAUUAGGGUUCGAUUCCGGAGAGGGAGCCUGAGAAACGGCUACCACAUCCAAGGAAGGCAGCAGGCGCGCAAAUUACCCAAUCCCGAUACGGGGAGGUAGUGACAAUAAAUACUGAUACAGGGCUCUUUUGGGUCUUGUAAUUGGAAUGAGAACAAUCUAAAUCCCUUAACGAGGAACAAUUGGAGGGCAAGUCUGGUGCCAGCAGCCGCGGUAAUUCCAGCUCCAAUAGCGUAUAUUAAAGUUGUUGCAGUUAAAAAGCUCGUAGUUGAACCUUGGGCCCGUCCUGCCGGUCCGCCUCACCGCGAGUACUGGUCCGGAUGGGCCUUUCUUUCUGGGGAAUCCCAUGGCCUUCACUGGCUGUGGCGGGGAACCAGGACUUUUACUGUGAAAAAAUUAGAGUGUUCAAAGCAGGCCUUUGCUCGGAUACAUUAGCAUGGAAUAAUAGAAUAGGACGUGCGGUUCUAUUUUGUUGGUUUCUAGGACCGCCGUAAUGAUUAAUAGGGAUAGUCGGGGGCGUCAGUAUUCAGCUGUCAGAGGUGAAAUUCUUGGAUUUGCUGAAGACUAACUACUGCGAAAGCAUUCGCCAAGGAUGUUUUCAUUAAUCAGGGAACGAAAGUUAGGGGAUCGAAGACGAUCAGAUACCGGUCGUAGUCUUAACCAUAAACUAUGCCGACUAGGGAUCGGGCGGGGGUUUCUAUGAUGACCCGCUCGGGCACCUUACGAAAAAAUCAAAGUUUUUUGGGUUCUGGGGGGGAGUAUGGGCCGCAAGGGUUGAAACUUUAAAGAAAUUGACGGGAAGGGCACCCCCAAGGGCGUGGAAGCCUGGCGGUUUAAUUUUGACUCCACCACGGGGGAAACUCCCCCAGGGCCCAAACAAAAUAAGGGAUUGGCAAAAUUGGAAAGCUCUUUCUUGGAACUUUUUGGAAGGGGGGGGCAUGGGCCGUUCUUAAUUUGGGGGGAAGGGAUUUUGUCCGGCUUAAUUUGCGAAUACCAGAAACAAAAACCUCCCGGUCCUUUAAAAAAACCCCCGGUCCCCGGUUUUGCGGGGCCCCGUUGGGGCUCUUUAAAAGGGGGAAUAUUCCGGUCUCAACCCCCAAAGAGAAAAAUCUGGGGGAAAUAAAAAAGGGUCUGGGGAAGCCCCCCUAAAAAUGUUUUUGGGGGGCCCCCCCCGGCCUCUCCUCUUUAGAAGGGGGCCCCCCAAGAGAAUAAACCUUCUUUUGGGGCCGAAAAACGGCCGGGGGGAAUUUUUUUUUAAAAAAACUCCUCCCCGCGUGGGGGGGGAAAAAAAGAAAUAUUUUUUUAUAUUUUUUGUCUCUCUCCCCCCAAAGAGGAAGAGGAAAAAG